rnacentral:rRNA from 1 species
AGUUGUGAAAGUUUGCGGCUCACCGUAAAAAUUGCAGUUGAUACUGGGUGUCUUGAGUACAGUAGAGGCAGGCGGAAUUCGUGGUGUAGCGGUGAAAUGCUUAGAUAUCACGAAGAACUCCGAUUGCGAAGGCAGCUUGCUGGACUGUAACUGACGCUGAUGCUCGAAAGUGUGGGUAUCAAACAGGAUUAGAUACCCUGGUAGUCCACACAGUAAACGAUGAAUACUCGCUGUUUGCGAUAUACAGUAAGCGGCCAAGCGAAAGCGUUAAGUAUUCCACCUGGGGAGUACGCCGGCAACGGUGAAACUCAAAGGAAUUGACGGGGGCCCGCACAAGCGGAGGAACAUGUGGUUUAAUUCGAUGAUACGCGAGGAACCUUACCCGGGCUUGAAUUGCAACUGAGUGAUGUGGAGACAUGUCAGCCGCAAGGCAGUUGUGAAGGUGCUGCAUGGUUGUCGUCAGCUCGUGCCGUGAGGUGUCGGCUUAAGUGCCAUAACGAGCGCAACCCUUAUCGAUAGUUACCAUCAGGUUAUGCUGGGGACUCUGUCGAGACUGCCGUCGUAAGAUGUGAGGAAGGUGGGGAUGACGUCAAAUCAGCACGGCCCUUACGUCCGGGGCUACACACGUGUUACAAUGGGGGGUACAGAAGGCAGCUACACGGCGACGUGAUGCUAAUCCCUAAAGCCUCUCUCAGUUCGGAUUGGAGUCUGCAACCCGACUCCAUGAAGCUGGAUUCGCUAGUAAUCGCGCAUCAGCCACGGCGCGGUGAAUACGUUCCCGGGCCUUGUACACACCGCCCGUCAAGCCAUGAAAGCCGGGGGUACCUGAAGUGCGUAACCGCAAGGAGCGCCCUAGGGUAAAACUGGUGAUUGGGGCUAAG